rnacentral:rRNA from 1 species
AAUAGAUACCCGGGUAGUCCAUGCCGUAAACGAUGGAUGCUAGCUAUUUGGCGGUUUCGACCCCGUCAGAAGCGAAGCUAACGCGUUAAGCAUCCCGCCUGAGUAGUACGAGCGCAAGCUUAAAACUCAAAGGAAUUGACGGGGACCCGCACAAGCGGUGGAGCGUGUGGUUUAAUUCGAUGAUAAGCGAAGAACCUUACCAAGGUUUGACAUCCUCAGAAGGCUUCCGAAAGGAAACUGUGCCCUCGGGAACUGAGUGACAGGUGAUGCAUGGCCGUCGUCAGCUCGUGUCGUGAGAUGUUGGGUUAAGUCCCGCAACGAGCGCAACCCUUAUGUUUAGUUGGAUUUUUCUAAACAGACUGCCCUGGUAACAGGGAGGAAGGAGGGGAUGAUGUCAGGUCAGUAUUUCCCUUACACCUUGGGCUACACACGCGCUACAAUGGCCGGUACAAUGGGCAGCCAACCCGCGAGGGGAGCAAAUCCCAUCAAAGCCGGUCUCAAUUCGGAUCGCAGGCUGAAACUCGCCUGCAUGAAGCCGG